GGCACAAUGGGACAAACAUCUGCACAAUGGCUGCUCUGUCUGACUGCAGCGCUGUGCUGCACCGCCACUCCAGCUCGUCUGUCCCUGAGUCCCAGCAGCUCUCAGCUGUUUGAGGGACAGUUUGUCUCUCUGAGCUGUGAGGACGAGGACAGCUCUGAUGGAUGGACUCUGAGGAGGAACACAACCAGAGAAACCAGAG